AGAGUUUGAUCAUGGCUCAGAUUGAACGCUGGCGGCAGGCCUAACACAUGCAAGUCGAGCGGUAGCACAGAGAGCUUGCUCUCGGGUGACGAGCGGCGGACGGGUGAGUAAUGUCUGGGAAACUGCCUGAUGGAGGGGGAUAACUACUGGAAACGGUAGCUAAUACCGCAUAAUGUCGCAAGACCAAAGUGGGGGACCUUCGGGCCUCAUGCCAUCAGAUGUGCCCAGAUGGGAUUAGCUAGUAGGUGGGGUAACGGCUCACCUAGGCGACGAUCCCUAGCUGGUCUGAGAGGAUGACCAGCCACACUGGAACUGAGACACGGUCCAGACUCCUACGGGAGGCAGCAGUGGGGAAUAUUGCACAAUGGGCGCAAGCCUGAUGCAGCCAUGCCGCGUGUGUGAAGAAGGCCUUCGGGUUGUAAAGCACUUUCAGCGGGGAGGAAGGCGUUAAGGUUAAUAACCUUGGCGAUUGACGUUACCCGCAGAAGAAGCACCGGCUAACUCCGUGCCAGCAGCCGCGGUAAUACGGAGGGUGCAAGCGUUAAUCGGAAUUACUGGGCGUAAAGCGCACGCAGGCGGUCUGUCAAGUCGGAUGUGAAAUCCCCGGGCUCAACCUGGGAACUGCAUUCGAAACUGGCAGGCUAGAGUCUUGUAGAGGGGGGUAGAAUUCCAGGUGUAGCGGUGAAAUGCGUAGAGAUCUGGAGGAAUACCGGUGGCGAAGGCGGCCCCCUGGACAAAGACUGACGCUCAGGUGCGAAAGCGUGGGGAGCAAACAGGAUUAGAUACCCUGGUAGUCCACGCCGUAAACGAUGUCGAUUUGGAGGUUGUGCCCUUGAGGCGUGGCUUCCGGAGCUAACGCGUUAAAUCGCGCCUGGGGAGUACGGCCGCAAGGUUAAAACUCAAAUGAAUUGACGGGGGCCCGCACAAGCGGUGGAGCAUGUGGUUUAAUUCGAUGCAACGCGAAGAACCUUACCUGGUCUUGACAUCCACAGAACUUUCCAGAGAUGGAUUGGUGCCUUCGGGAACUGUGAGACAGGUGCUGCAUGGCUGUCGUCAGCUCGUGUUGUGAAAUGUUGGGUUAAGUCCCGCAACGAGCGCAACCCUUAUCCUUUGUUGCCAGCGGUCCGGCCGGGAACUCAAAGGAGACUGCCAGUGAUAAACUGGAGGAAGGUGGGGAUGACGUCAAGUCAUCAUGGCCCUUACGACCAGGGCUACACACGUGCUACAAUGGCAUAUACAAAGAGAAGCGACCUCGCGAGAGCAAGCGGACCUCAUAAAGUAUGUCGUAGUCCGGAUUGGAGUCUGCAACUCGACUCCAUGAAGUCGGAAUCGCUAGUAAUCGUAGAUCAGAAUGCUACGGUGAAUACG
rnacentral:rRNA from 1 species